rnacentral:rRNA from 1 species
AGCGAACGCUGGCGGCAGGCUUAACACAUGCAAGUCGAGCGGGCAUCCUUGUGGUGUCAGCGGCAGACGGGUGAGUAACGCGUGGGAACGUGCCCUUCGGUUCGGAAUAACUCAGGGAAACUUGAGCUAAUACCGGAUACGUGCGAGAGCAGAAAGGUUUAUCUGCCGAAGGAUCGGCCCGCGUCUGAUUAGCUAGUUGGUGAGGUUAUGGCUCACCAAGGCGACGAUCAGUAGCUGGGCUGAGAGGAUGAUCAGCCACACUGGGACUGAGACACGGCCCAGACUCCUACGGGAGGCAGCAGUGGGGAAUAUUGGACAAUGGGGGCAACCCUGAUCCAGCCAUGCCGCGUGAGUGAUGACGGCCUUAGGGUUGUAAAGCUCUUUUAUGCGGGACGAUAAUGACGGUACCGGAGGAAUAAGCCCCGGCUAACUUCGUG